UGCCUUCAUUUGUUUCCCGAACAUCGCUAUGUCUUAUUCUUUUGCCUUUGGCAGAUCCUUUAUUCCUUCUGGAACUGCAACUAAAUCCAGGGGAGCUCUGGCCAAUGGGCACACCCUGUUUCCAUGAUUCAGGGCACUGUGGUUCAGAUCGGAGAUUAUAAAAUCAGUAAUCCAGAGAAUACAAUAAUCACACCAUCAUAAUGCUGAAAAAGGUUCAGCAGUUCUCUUUCCACAUGGAGUAGGAGAGCUGAGACCAGAGCUCUGCAGUCGGACAGCUCAGUGAGCACACAGAGGCUUCAUAUUAUCUGGGACAAGCAACCUCGAUUCACAGAUGCCGCAGUGGCACAGAGAGCUGAAAGGACUCAAGAAGACAAACACAAAACCCUGAGUGCUCAGCCUCUUUUCACGGUGCUUCCCCUGAACCCACCACCUACC